rnacentral:lncRNA from 1 species
ACAAACAGAAGUAGAACAAACACGUAAUUUAACUGUACCUACCAUGAAUGCAUCUUCUUAGAUGAGUUCCUUUGAUCAUACAGUACAUCUCUUUUACGCAAUUGUGCAUUUGUGCAGGAGACGGUUUAUUGGAAUUGUGUAAAGAGAAGUGUGAGUCUUUGUGGGUUACAGGAGAGAAAACUGUGACUUAGAAUGGUUAUCAUACGCCAAGAUGUUCUUAUUUAGAGUUAAGAAUCCACCUUCCCACAAUAUUAAUUCGAGCAGUAGCACUUAUCGUUUAAACAAUCUCAGUGGAGCAUCAAUUGUUUUAAUUCUAAAAGAGAGAAUACUGAUCAAAGAGAAAAUCCAAGACAUAGAAGGCUAACUAUAUGAAGAAGCUAGAAAAGUUAAGGCUUUUGUUUGACAUGGAUUGGAUAGAGAGGUGUGAAGACUGUUUGCAGAAGUCUCAUGAGCACAGACCCUCUAAAUGAAGAGAACACAAAACAAACGUAGACCGGUUGGAUAUGGCUUGGGCAGGUGAAAUUUUCCCCCCAGACGCGUAAUUUCAUGCACUAGAUUUGCUUAUAUUUUUUGUUAGAAACACUUUGUACAUUCUUAUUUAUGUUUCUUGGCUCUAUUUUUCUGUGAGUUUAUUAUUCUGCAAGUUUUUUUUUUCUUGUAGUAGUUACAGAUUGUUAACAAAAAUAGGUUCCCUACAUGGUUUGGCAACACAAUAUCUGAUCGCAUAAAUAGGUUCCCAUCAAUGUACACCAUCGAAAUAAAACAUGACAGACUUCUUGGAGCAAUAUUCCCUCUGCAAUCCAUAAUAUAGGCAAAUAUAACUAAAAGCCACCUUCCCUACGAAACAACUAUACCUUAUAUCUGAAUAUUGAUGUCUAAGAAUUUGGAAAUGCUUUACGUAUAUGAUAUUCAAUCAUUUCUAAGAAUUUGUUCCAUUCUCAUAUCAAGUGCCGUUUUUUGGCAACUGUUUGAUACAAAACCUUCAAGAGCUUUUGUCUACGACCAAACUAGAUUCUUAGAUUCCCUGAUAGGAACUAUUGCCUUGUAGUUUUAUUAGAGAGUAGUACUCCCCACGACUUCCAAUGGACAGUAGAUUAGAAUGUGAUCCUUCUUCCACAACCUUUCCAUUCUUAAUCACCACUAUGCUAUCUGAUUUUUGUAUUGUUGAUAGUCGGUGAGCUACAACUACACUUGUUCUACCAAUCAUCACUUUAUCCAGUGCAUCUUGAACUAAUUUUUCAGAUGCGCUAUCCAGUGCACUCGUCGCCUCAUCUAAAAGCAUAAUUGCUGGGUUCUUCAAGAUUGCACGAGCUAGUGCUAUUCUCUGCUUUUGACCUCCUGAUAGCUGACAUCCUCUUUCUCCACAGUAAGUUUCAUACCCAUUCUCCAAGGAGCUGCAGCAUAAAAAGAAAAAUGUUUGUCAAUCAUACCAUUGCUUCUGCAUGUUUCUCUGAAAAAAAGUAAAAAAAAAAAAGAUAAUUAAUAUUUAAUAAUGAGAUGUCAACGGUCCAACCUUAUAAAUUCAUGCGCAUUAGCAACAAUGGCAGCCUCUUUUCACCUCAGCUUCUGUGGGCGUUCUCAUUCCCAUAAGUAAUGUUUCGUGGAUAGUCCCAGCAAAGAGAGUAGUUCUGACUACAGUGCGAUUUUGUGACUAGAUCGUAACUUAUAGCUCUAUGUUCUUGUCGUCAUUCGCUUACGAACCUUUUAGUGGAUCAUAGAAUCUCUCAUAAACGCAUAACUGUUGAUUUGCUUGAACCGCUUUGUCCACCAAUGCAUGUUGCCUGCUUCUAUCUAGAGUAGACCCUUGAAGAUCAUCUGGUCAGGCCCGGGCUGGAUAACAAAAAUACACAUUGUUCAGCUCGACAAAUCCCUUGAUAGUCUCGUUAGCUUUGAUUCCUUCUGGGUUAUCAGGCUCAAUCUUAGAUUUUCUGUCUAUGAGUGCAAAGAGUGAUCUAAUGGCAUCACCACCCUUGGCUAAAUCUGAUGUCAUGCUUCCUGCUUCGGCAAUGUUUCUACCUGUGCUCAUCAAAAUGAAGAACGCUUGAAACAGAGCCUUCGCAGUUAUUAGCUGUUGAGCAAUCAACCUUCCGCCAUACCAAAAAGCAAUAGCUGUGGAGGCCUGGGUGAAAAAUUGGGAACUGAACAAAGCGACACCUGUGAACCAAGACUGUUUGUUGCUCUCCUUCCGAGGGCCUUCGAGGGUAGCUUCAAAUAAAUCCACUAUUCUUUUUUGAGAAGCGAAAGCAGUAAUGGUCCUGUGGUUGAUUACUGCUUCACUUGCUAGUUGGCUUCCUUCGUUUUGUGAUGUCCGAACUUUUUCUGACAUGCUUUUCAUGAAAGCAGUUCUUGAAUAGAAACAUGCAAUGAUUAAAGGUUGCAUGCCAAUUAUCACAGCAGCUAGUCUCCAUGAGACCACCAUUGCUAGCAGGAAAGCUACAGAGGCACUAAUAAUGACCUGAAUUAUUAAGGAUAGUCGGUCCCCAAUGAGUGAGCGAGCCAUGUUGGCUUCAGUAGCCAACUUUGAACAAACGGCUGCGGUAUUAUUUUCAUCUUGGUCAAACCACCCUAUCUCAAAUGUUAACACCUUCUCAAGCAUUUUCUCUCGUAUCCUUUUGUUUAAUUGUUCUCCCAUGAUUGCAAAGUUGUAAUGCUGGAGGAGACUUGUGAUAAAGCUGAUGCCUGCCAGGGAUAAAAAGAUUGAGCAAUAGAAAUUAGUUUCAUUUUUGAGCUGGGCAUUGUCCUUGACGAAGUAAACUGAAAUCAUUGAUCCCAAGCAAAUAGGCAUGUGUGGGCUGAACUGCUCCAAAGCUAAUUGCACCCAAGCACCCAAGUAAAGUUCUCUUCCAUUCGGGUGCAUUCAUCUGCAGUAAACGCCACUGCAAAGGUGGCAGAUGAAUGGGUAGCUUUUGGUCAGAUUUGUCUUUAUUGGUAUGACUUUGGGAGAAGGAAUACCCCGGGCUACGAUGGUCUGCCGGACUGCUAGCCCUAGUUGAUUCAACACAGAUUGGGCUCAAUGUAUUGUAUUGGCUAUCAUCGCUUUGUUGUAAAUGAGAUGGAUUUAUUGCUUCACUCGGCAUUGUUCUUUCCUGCAACUGUACCAUUUUAGAAUACACUCCACUACCUUCGUUGUUCUGGAUUAGCUCAUUAUGCGUGCCUGACUCAAUCACUUUUCCCGAUUGAAGCACUACUAGAAAAUUGGUAUUCCGUAAUGUAGAAAGGCGAUGAGCAAUGAUGAUUGUGGUCCUCCCCAGUGAUGCUUUAUCCAGUGCCUCCUGUACUAUCCUUUCCGACUGUGAAUCCAAUGCACUUGUAGCCUCAUCUAGCAGCAGAAUCUGUGGAUCUCGAAUUAAAGCCCUUGCAAUGGCAAUCCUUUGCUUCUGGCCUCCAGACAAUUGAACUCCAAGCUCCCCCACCUGGUAAAUCAAAAUUGAUAUGGGCAUUAACUUUAGUCAGUAAUGGGAAAAUUGAGUGAUAUUGGUGAAGGAUUAAGCGGUAAUGAUUCUGCUUACUGGAGUCUCAUAUCCUUUUGGUAACAUAGUAAUGAAGUCGUGGGCAUUUGCAUUCUUGGCUGCAGCGAUGACAAGAUCCGUUGAAGCUCCUUCCUUUCCGAACAGUAUAUUCUCUUUUAUGGAUGUUCCAAAGAGAAUUGGCUCCUGAUUAACCAGGCCCAACUGGGACCGUAGCCAAUUCAGUUGAAAUUUCUUAAUAUCAUUUCCAUCCAAGAAAAUUUCUCCUUUAAUAGGGUCAUAGAACCUUUCAAGUAGUGAGAUGACUGUGGACUUGCCUGAACCACUGGCUCCCACUAGUCCUAUAGUUUCACCAGCUGGGACGAUAAGAUUAAAUUCUUGCAGGAUAACAGAGUCUGGUCUUGAUGGAUAACUGAAAGUCACAUUUGUGAACUUCAACUCUCCAUUAACGUUUGCUAAGACACAUCCUUUUUCAUCUUCUGAGUCUAUGGAUGGUAGUCUGUCGAUCAUAUCAUAUAUAUGGGAAGCAGUUGCAGUAGCCUUCGAGAAGAAUGUGAUAUUUGGCAGUGCACUCAUAAUUGAUCUACAUAUGAAAUGCUGAAUCUGUGACUUCAGAGUUCAGACAAAAAGAAAGAAGGUUAUAAGCAAAAAGCAGUACAAGAGAAACUCACAAUCCUCCCACGAUAGUACACAUUCCAGCAAUAAAAAUGUGACCACCUUUUUCACCCCUUUUGAUUACCAAGAGACUGCCAAUCCAAGACUGGAAAGCCCAAGUAGCAAAAAUCAUUCCCAUACUUCCAACCAACAUUCCCUUUAUAAACCCUUGCUUUACUCCAAGCUUUAAACUUUGCUGAAGUUCAUGGCUAAACUUCUCUAGUGUUUGAUGCUCUCCUGCAUAUGAAAAAACGGUUCGAACUGAUGAGAUUGCUUGUUCUACAGUACCUCCUGCGAUAUCGUAAGCGUCUUUCAUCUUCUUCCCCAAGUUCAUCAUAACUUUACCAAACCCAACACCCGGUAUAACGAACAUGAAUGGGAAUGGGAGGGUAAGCAGAGCCAAUCUCCAAGAUAGUAGGAAAGCGACUACUAGACUGAAGGUGAAUGUUGUCAAAUGUGCAAGGCAGUUUGGUAUCUGCAUGAAGAGAAGACCCACUAUAUAUACACUAAUAUACCAACAUCACAAUAAUCUGAAAAUGCAAACUGUCAUGUCUAGAAAGACAAGAACGAUAUAGAAUGUGAAGAGAAAAAACCUUCUCAGCAAGAACAUCUUGGAUUGAGUGGGAGUCGGAAGAGAUAGUGGAGACGACUUGAUAGGUUGUUGAGGUGGUAGUUUGAGUAUCAAAGAAACUGACAUCUUGCCUGAGAACAGACUUUAGGUACUCCUUUUUCAUACGAGAUGUCUGUCUUUCUGCAGUUCUUGUCCAACAGAUUCCUUCUGUAAAAACAAUGUGAACAUGGAGUGUCAAUGGGUGGGUUUCAGUCGAGGUGUCGUGGAGAUGGAGAGAACUGUCCAGAUCAUAUCUAUGGUGUAGUGUGCCUGAAUAUUUGGAUAAUUGGUGUGUUUUAACACAUAAUAUAGGUCUUACUUUGAGACUUUCAAUUCAUCUGUGAUAUGGCUUUUGGGUAAUGGAAUAAUUGUUUAUGAUAAAAAAUUCAGCUUCAAGAAAAAUGUGGUGUGAAGUAAUUUUCUUAUAGGAUGCUUUGCAUUAGGCUACUUUGAUCAUAAUUAGAUCCAGGGUCAAAUGUCGGCUUUGAGUAUUUGGUGAACCAUUAACACCCCUUGAAGUGUCUGUGGAUGCAUGUUUGCUUAUUGAAUAGACAUGUAAAGUAGGUGAUUUUACACAUACCAACAAAAGCAGAAAUUCCAACCCCUAUACCAACAAAGAGUAGCCUGAGUGCAAACUGAAAAUGAAGAGCACACAAUUAGUUUUCUACCAUUGGUGAACAAUGCAGUCAGUCACAGAUAUUAAUGAAGUCUGAAACAACAUCACGAUUUAUCACCUAGUAGGAAGUAGUUCUACCACCUGCAGAUCUAUCGCGAUCAUAGAGGAGGUUGCAGGCCACUUUCCCAUCCAAUAAAAGAUCAAAUUAUAGAUUUUUUUAAUUGGGGCAUAUUUUACAUGAUAGAAUAUAUUUACUUCAGAGGACUUGCUGGUGCUACGAAGUUAUUAUUAGUUUGCCAUGAAGAUAUAGUAAAACGCUGGUGCAUAGUGAACCUAACCUUGUCCACUACAUGAUUCGAGAAAGAGGCAUCAGCAUAUCCAUACUCAUUGAUUGCAUCACUCAAUACAUACAUGGACAGAGGGCUCAUCAACCCAUCUCCAAUGCUACCCAGCGUCCCAAACAACAGAAACAGCUUGUCAAUGCCAUCAGCAUAUCGGAAAAGCUGGAAGAUCGACAUGCUUCCUUUGCUUUCAGUGUCUUUGGGUGCUUAUAAUGCUCAAACCAGGCUCAUUUAUAUACAAUAUUUCAUUCCCUUGAGUAUGCCAGCUGCUUAAGAUAAUAUAUUUAUCAAUAAAUUAGACUUACUUCCUGUAACACUUGAGAUCUUAUCUGAUAGAUCUUACUUGGAGGUUGAGGGUUCCUAUAUUUAGCAUGUGUAGAUAAUUUUCUCCUCAAAAACAAGGAAAGCAAGCGAAUAUACAGAAAAUAACAUGGCUAAGGGACAGAAAUCAUGGACAAAGUUGCUGCACCUGCAAUAAAUAGUUUAGCAACUGGUAUAACAUUGGUACCCUGCAUCCUCAGGAAAGAAAGACGAGCACAUCCAGAAUUUUUCUAAUUAGAUAUAAAGGGAGGGCUCAAAUCAGCACAGAAAUACUAAGAUGUUGAUAGACCCAGAGCACCACAACAAAAACCACAAGCAUCGGUAAUGCCAAAGAUUGUGUUAAUCAUGAGGUUAGUUGGACUCUUAUGGUCUUUACAGCACAUUACGGCAUACCAAAUAAAAGUGUUCUGGUUUCUGUUGCAGGAAGGGACACUGAAAUGGUUAAUAUAUAUCGACACUGAAGUGGAGCCAAAAAGAGUAAUAUAGUGGUAUAAGGACUUUUGCGAGUUACCCUGCUUAAGUCUGAUUGUUCUCAUUGAUAAUUACUCUAUCACAUUUGAAAUAGAUAAUAACUUUAAGAACAUAAAAACGAUCAGAGUAUGAGAAGAUGGAAUGUUACCUAAUUCAGUGAGUGCUCAAAAUUCGUGUAGAUGUUAGGAUGGGAGGUUUCUUUUUUCUUGAAAGCAAAGUGGUGUUAUGCAGAGUUCUAACAGAUUUAGUGAAGUGUAAGAUGUUGAAGUCAAUAUACAACACCUGAAGCUUUUCUAAGUAGUCUCAUGGUAUUUGACUUUUAAAGAGUAGGUACUAAGUACAUCAGAGGUUCAUUAGAACAACGUUUAGCUGGUUGUACGUAGCUGGCACUAAUUGAUUUUCCUGGACAUGUAGGUUGUUUGUUUCUUUAGAUCUCAUCAGUUCUUACAGCUUAGUGUUUGUGCCUUUCUUUAUUCUAUUGAUACCUUACGACUGAGAUAAUUACUAAGCAUUUUAAUAUUCUAAUUUAAUCAAAUUAUGAAUAUCUAAUCAUCAACGAAUUGAUGUGUUUGGUAGUAGUGUAUAAACCAUGAUAACUCCACUUUUGCAUUGUUUAUAUUGUAAUGCAUAUGCAGCUGGAUACUGGUAUGCGUAAAAAUAUUAAUCUUUUCGGCUCCUUGAAUCUGUCAUUGUAUCGGGAAAAAAAGUCGUUUGGGUAACAUUAUAUCACAAAUGAAACUAGACUACCUGAUUCGAAACCAAAUUCCACUGUCUUAUUCUUAUUCCAAACGAGGCAAAAUAUGCAUCGACAACAUUAGAACGCCAUCAUUGCAUAUAAUGUGUUUUUUUGUUGUUGUUGUUGUUGAAGAAUUGGAACUCAAAACUGUGAGGCCUUAGAUAAGCGAAAAAUUUAUACCUAUGAAAUGUUUGAAUUGAAGGCAUUUUUCGGCAUACUUCUAGUUUGGAUUUCCCUUUCAUCGAUAGGUUUUAGUUGCCAAGCUAAACAACCUGUGCUCUUUAUCUUAAUAUUUUCUAUGAAGCUGUACUGUGCCCUUAGUAUGACUUGAGCUGUUUUUAGACAUGCCCCAUGUUUUAAUUGAAAUAUAAAGGUUCUUACAUUCUAGUGUUUUCACUCUUCCUCAGUAAAUCCUCACUUUCACUUCCUUGCACUUUCAAGUCCAUGUGGAGGUACAAAACUGACAAACUUAAAUUCAAUGUUGAGGCUUACUGAAGCAAGGUAAUCUGUAACUCCAUGGCUUUCUUUCUAGACCAUGUUUAACAGUUAUUAAUAUGAAUAUUUAGUUCUGAUUCUUGAACUGUAUCUUUUCCAUAUUUUAAUUAAUCUUUUUUUUUCCCCAUUUUGUUGGAAGUUUAAGAACCACUUGUUCCGGCGGGCCACCUUACUAUUCGACAAACAAGUGCAAAACACAUACGUACUACAGACCGAACUGAACCUUGUGUCCUGCACUCCUGUCUAAGAUUGCAAAGCUAUAGGUAAGAUAACUCUUAGCCUUGAUUGUAGACUUUUUUGUUAUUACUUUCUGUGAUUCCUCAUUAUUUGUAUUAGAAAGAAGACUUUAUGGUUUAGAAAUCAAAGGUGUACUAGUUUGAUUUUUCUCUUUUUAUCACUAUUGAUAUGAAAGUAUAAACUCUUAAUAACUAAUUUUCAUAUAUAUUAAUAUUAGAUUCUAGCACCAAUUAACAUUCUUAUACUUCAUUCCGAGAAUAAUGUCUGUUGUUGAAGAUUUAACCCAUAUUUCAGCAUAGGUUUACCGAUAUGGGGAAUUGUUUCCUUGUAGUUUUAUAAGAGAGUAGUAUGCCCCACCGUGUCCAAUUGCAAGUAAACUGGAAUGUGAGCCUUCUUCCACUACUUUUCCAUUCUUAAUCACUGCUAUGGAAUCUGCUUUUUCUAUUGUGGAUAGCCGGUGAGCUACGACGACACAUGUUCUACCAAUCAUCAUCUUGUCAAGUGCGUCUUGAACAAGGCUUUCUGAUAAGCUGUCAAGUGCACUUGUUGCCUCAUCCAACAGCAGAAUUGCUGGGUUCUUUAGAAUUGCCCUAGCAAGUGCUAUCCUCUGCUUUUGACCUCCUGAAAGUUGGACUCCUCUCUCUCCACAGUAGGUUUCAUAUCCAUUCUUCAUGGAGCUGCAAGCAAAAGAAAGCCAUUAAUCAUUUAUGAGGAUUGAUAAGAUUAUUUUGCAAGUAAAAGACUUGAUACAUUGGUGGUCCAUAGUUACCUUAUGAACUCAUGAGCAUUGGCACGCAUUGCAGAUUUUCUUAGCUCUGCUUCUGUCACAUUCUCUUUCCCAUAGGUAAUAUUUUCACGGAUAGUUCCAGCAAAAAGAGUGGGCUCCUGACUAACCAGCGCGAUUUGUGAUCUGAGUUGUCUCAGGUUAUAGCUCUUGAUAUCAUGCCCAUCAAUCACUACCGAACCUUUCAGUGGAUCGUAGAAUCUCUCGAUCAGACCUAUAAUAGUAGAUUUUCCUGAACCGCUUUGGCCAACCAGUGCCAUUUUUUUACCUGCUUCUAUUUGAAGACUUAGACCCCUGAAGAUCACCUGUUCUGGUCUUGCAGGAUAAGAGAAAAACAAGUUUUUCAGCUCAACGAAUCCCUUGAUUUUCUUGUCAACUUUGAUACCUUCCGCGUGAUCAGGCUCAAUCUCACUGUUCCUAUCUAAGAUUGCAAAAACUGAUCUGAUGGCCUCCACACCCUUGGCUAAGUCAGAUGUCAUGCAUCCUGCAUCGGCGAUGCUCUUACCUGUGCUCAUCAAAAUAAAGAAUGCUUGAAAUAACGCCUUUGCGGUUAUCUUUCCUUGAGUCAUCAGCCUCCCUCCAUACCAAUAUGCCAAAGCUAUAGAAGCGGUGGUGAUAAAUUGGGAACUGAAUAAUGCAACACCUGCAAACCAAGAUUGUUUGAUGUUUUCCUUCUGAGGACCUUUGAAUGUAGCUUCAAAUAGGUGCACUAUUCUUUUCUGAGAAGAGAAAGCAGUGACUGUCCUGUGAUUCACUACUGCUUCACUUGCUAGUUGGCUCCCUUCAUUUUGUGCUGUUCGAGCUUUUGCUGACAUGCUCUUCAUGAAAACACUCCUCGAAUAAAAACAACCAAUAAUAAAAGGCUGUAUGGCAAUCAUCACACUGCCUAGUCUCCAUGUGACCAGUAACCCCAAAGUCCAUGAUAAGGAAGCACAAACAAAGACCUGAACUAAUAAGGACAUUCGAUCCCCAAUAAGUGAGCGAGCCGUAUUGGCUUCUGUGGCUAACCUCGCACAAAUGGCUGCACUAGUGUUUUCAUCUCGGUCGAACCACCCUAUCUCAAAUGUCAACACCUUCGCAAGCAUUUUUUCUCGUACCCUUUUUGUUAAUCUCUCUCCCAUGAUUGCAAAGUUGUAGUGUUGGAGGAGAUUCGUGAUAAAGCUAAUACCUGCUAUGGAUAAGAAGAUAAAGCAAUAAAAUUUGGUCUCAGAUCGGAUAUGAGAAUCGUCCGGUAAGAAGUAUACUGAAGCUAUAGAUCCCAAGCAAUAGGCAUGCAUGGGUUGAACUGCUCCAAAGCCGAUUGCACCUAAACACCCUAGUAACGUUCUCUGCCACUCAGGUGCAUUCAUCAUUAGUAAACGCCAUUGCGGAGACGGUGCAUUAGAGGAAAGCUUCAAAUUUUGCUCUUCUUUUUCAUAAUUGGCAUGACUCUGGGUGAAGGAAUGUUCUUGGCUGAUUGAGUAUGGUGCUGGACUGAAGUGGUCCACGGGGGUAAUUGAGUAUGGUGCUCGACUGAAGUGGUCCACGGGGGUAAUUGAGUAUGGUGCUGGACUGAAGUGGUCCACGGGGAUAAUGGAGUACGAUGAUGGGCUGAAGUAGAAUGUCGGACUGCUAUGCCUACUUGAUGCCACACUCAUUGAAUUCGGAAGAUUGAUUUUUCUGAGGUUGACUUCUGUUGGUAAGUAACAUGGAUUCAAAGCUUCGGUUUCCAUAGUUUUUUGCUGUAACUGCACCAUUUUAGAAUACACCCCACCUUCUUUGUCAUUAGCUUGGAUCAGCUCAUCAUGAGUGCCUGAUUCAAUAAUUUUCCCUGAUUGAAGUACUACUAUGAAGUUUGCCUUACGUAUAGUAGAGAGACGGUGAGCAAUGAUGAUUGUUGUCCUUCCUAGUGAUGCUUUAUCCAGUGCCUCUUGUACUGUUCUUUCCGACUCUGCAUCUAAUGCACUUGUUGCCUCAUCUAGUAGCAAGAUUUUGGGAUCUCGAAUUAAAGCCCGUGCAAUGGCAAUCCUUUGCUUCUGGCCUCCAGACAAUUGAACUCCAAAUUGACCAACCUUUUAAAACAAAGAGAUGGUACUCUUAGAUCAAUAUCACAUUAAGAUGGAAAUAAGUAUAGUGUACUGGCUGAAAGAUUAAAAAGUAAGGACUAAUCUUACUUGAGUCUCAUAUCCUUUAGGUAACUUAGUGAUGAAAUCAUGGGCAUUUGCAUCCUUGGCUGCCUUAAUUACAAAGUCCAUUGGAGCUUCUUCAUUCCCGAACAGUAUGUUCUCUUUUAUGGAUGUUGCAAAGAGAAUUGGCUCCUGGUUCACAAGGCCCAUCUGGGACCUUAGCCAUUUCAGAUGAAGCUUCUUGAUAUCAGUUCCAUCCAAGAAUAUUUUUCCUUUGACAGGGUCAUAAAACCUUUCAAGCAGUGAGAUGGUUGUGGACUUUCCAGAACCACUUCCUCCGACUAACCCUACGGUUUUACCAGCCCCAACUUUAAGGUUGAACUCUUGAAGGAUAGGAGAGUCGGGUCUUGAUGGAUAACUGAAAGUCACAUUUUUAAACUGUAAAUCACCAGCAAUAUGUGUCAGUACUUCCCCUUCUGCAUCUUCUGAGUCUAUGGCAGGAAGUCUGUCAAUCAUCUCAUAUAUACGGGAUGAUGUAGCUACUGCCUCAGAGAAGUACGAGAGAUUGGGUAGUGCACUCAUUAUAGACCUGCAGUUGAAAUAGUAAAUGAGGGAUUUAGAGUUCAGAAAAACAAAUGGCGUACAGUAAUCCCCUAUAACUUAGUACUACAGGGUCGUUUUAGUCUAGACGGGCAUUUAAUUAUAGAAAGAUGAUUUGAACAAAAAUUAUCCUUGUACUUGAAUACUGUGAAAGCUGUCCUUUUUUAGGGCAGCUCUAAGGGUUUGAACCAACAAACUAGAUCAGCUUUUCCAUUUUCUUGUGGUUCCAAGAAGGACGUUGCAUGUGCUGUUUAUCUUGUAUAAAAGAAAUUUUCCUUUUUUAUCAAUUUCAUAAUUUGAACCAGAAGCUUAUGCAGACUUUUUAUAGGAAGUAUAUGAUAAGUGGUAAUUUAAUUGUCUACUAGGAUGAACAUGGAGUCCGAAUUACUCAACCAUACUUAGAGGUUAUUAAUUGAUACCGAGUUUAUUGUGGUGAAGAGAGACUCACAAUCCUCCCAGGACUACACAGACUCCAGAAACAAAAACAGGGCCACCUUUUUCACCCUUCUCAACCACCAAAAUGCUGCCUACCCAAGACUGAAAAGCAAAAGUAGCAAAAGUCAUUCCCAUGCUCCCAAUCAACAAUCCUUUAGUAAACCCUUGCUUUAUUCCGAGCUUCAUACUUUGUUGAAGCUCGAUGCUGAACCUCUCAAGUGUCUGAUGCUCUCCUACAUAUGAAUACACAGUUCGUACUGAUGAGACUGCUUGUUCUGCAAUUCCUCCAGCAACUCCAUAAGCAACUUUCAUUUUUAUCCCCAACUCCAUCAUGACCUUUCCAAAUCCAACACCAGGAAUUAUGAACAUGAGUGAGAAUGGGAGGGCAAACAAGGCCAAUCUCCAUGAUAGUAAAAAACUGACGAUGAGACUGAAGCUAAAUGUUGAUAACUGAGCAAUGCAGUUAGGUAUCUGCAUUAAAAAGAAAUACCAGGAUUUCAGUAAUAGUGACGUGAUAUUCAAUUUUUUAUUUUUUUUCCUUUUCUUCAAUGUUAGAGAAGAAUGAAGCCAAGGUGUUUAUAAAAACCUUUUCACUUAUAACAUCUUGAAUUGAAUGGGCACCGGAGGAGACUGUAGACACGACCUCAAAGGUUGUUGAAGUGUCAGUUUGAGCGUCAAAGAAACCAACUUCUUGCCUAAGAACAGACUUUAGGUACUCUUUUUUAAUACGAGACGUCUGUCUCUCUGCAGUUCUAGUCCAGCAUAUUCCUUCUGCAGAACAAGGUUUGAUCAAAGAAGGUACAUGAUUGGCUGAUCAAGUCACAAAAUCAAAUGAUGGUCCAACAAACACCAUGCAUGUACCCAGUGCAUCUUGGUUUUGCAAUGGUUGUUAUUCUAUACAUUUAGCUUGUGUGAUUGUGAUCAGACCAGGUAACCAUGACAGCCCUUAAAUAGCUAUGAACUGCAUGUUUAAAGAUUGAAUACACAUGAAUCUAUGUUAUUGUGGUGUAAGUAUGCGUACCAACAAAAGCCGAAAUUCCAACACCAAUAGCUACAUAGAGUAACCUGAGCGAAUACUACAAAAUGAAGAAAGUAACAUUUAGUUUACUACCAGUCAUUACAAGAACACAAUCAUAUACGACUUGUCACCCAGUUGGAAUCAGAUCAACCACAAUUCAGAUCUAACAAAAAUAUAUUUGCUUUUGCAGGGGAAGUUGAAGGUGUUCGAUUCUAUAUGUUUGUUAGGGGUGAAACAAAGGCGUACAGAAAAGUGAUGGAUAGUUGUACUACCUUGUCAACUACAACUUUUGUGAAAGAGGUACCACUAGUCCCAUACUCAUUGAUUGCUCCGCUUAGAACCAACAUGGUAAGAGGGCUCAUCACCCCAUCUCCAAUGCUGCCCAAAGUUCCAAACAACAGGAACAACUUGUCUACUCCAUCAGCAUAUCGGAAAAGCUGAAAGAUAGACAUUUUUUUUCUCUGUUAUCAAUUCCUUGGAAUGCAUAUAACUGUCAUAUAUAUAAGACUGGAGCCUUUCUCUUAUACCAUCGGUAUCGCUCUUUUUAGGUUUUGGCACCAUUUAUGUUACAUUUAGACCCUACUUACUGAUUUGAUUUUGAUUCUUCUACAAAGCUACAUAUUACUUAGUUGGAAGUAGCCACUCUUAUUGUCUCUAUAUCAAAAUUUACUUCCAUAUGGAAUGAUAGAUG